CCCACUAACUAAAUACUUACACUCACACACUCAUCUCUCUCUCUCUCAUUAGAUUCUUGUAACAAUUAAGGUUGUUGGGUUAGAUUAAUGCUAGAAACAUCAUCAUUAGCAUCAUAAAUUCAUCAUAUCAAAAUUUGGUGUUCAAGGUGCUUGAAAAACUCCAUUUGGGAUCAAUUUCGGAUUUUGCUUCUUGGAAGUGAUUUUGCAAAAUACUACUCAAAAUCGAAGGAAAAAUGUGUUAAUGCUCCUGAGCUUACAAGAUUCCUAUCUAAGGUGGUGGAUGAGAAGCGAACAUUGAACGACAUUGACUUGACAUUUCCUCAUAAUUACUUCUCUUUGCCGAUCAAGGUAACCAGGUGAACCAAGGACAUGAUGCAUGACUUCUACUUGCUUUUGACUCGGGCUUGGACUUAAAUGGAUCAAGGAUUCAUUCGCCCACUUUUGCAUUAUGCUUAGGAUCGAUAGCCAUCGUUAGACUAUUAUUUUGUAAACUUUGAUGGUUACUUGCUCCUUGUGCAUUUUGUAUGAAUAUUUGACUUGUUUGUUGGAUUCACCAAAUUCACCUAAUUCAUUUAGUUUGCCUAAAAUAA